UGUGCUUUGCUGUGUCUGUGCUGAGAGUUCAAGAUGUAUUUUUUGAUAUCAUUAUCAGUCUAGAGGAUUGAUAGUUCAGUCCUUUCAGAUGUGGAUCAGACAUAUACUCUAUGGGGUGUGAAGUGGGAAGAAGGAAAGACAAUAGGAAAAAUAAUCUUCAAUGACAUUAGCAAUCAGCACAAUUUACAAGAGUUAAAGUUACCAUAGGAACACAGAGAAGAGGAAAGUUUACUGCCAGAAUUAAGUACAGUGCCCCCAACUUUGCUAUGAAGACCAAGGCACUGUGGAAUUGUGUGUCUGCGUUUGGAAAGUCAGCUUGUGCCUAAAUGGAUUUUGAAGAUAUCAGGC
rnacentral:lncRNA from 1 species